GCGGACGUGGCGGAACUGGCAUACGCGCUAGACUAAGGAUCUAGUGGGGAAACCCCGUGGAGGUUCAAGUCCUCUCGUCCGCA
rnacentral:tRNA from 1 species